GACGAACGCUGGCGGCGUGCUUAACACAUGCAAAUCGAACGGAGUGGCGAACGGGUGAGUAACACGUGGGUGACCUGCCCUGCAAUUCGGGAUAAGCCUGGGAAACUGGGGCUAAUACCGGAUAGUGUGGAAUGGGCCCGCGGCCAAUCAGCUUGUGGGUGGGGUAAUUGCCUAACAAGGCGGCGACGGGUAGCCGUCCUGAGAGGGUGGACGGCCACACUGGGACUUAGACACGGCCCAGACUACUACGGGCGGCAGCAGUGGUGAAUAUUGCACAAUGGGCGGAAGCCUGAUGCAGCGACGCCGCGUGGGGGACGACGGCCUUCGGGUUGUAAACUCCUGUCACCGUCGAUGCGGUAGAUGGAGAAGAAGCACCGGCUAACUACGUGCCAGCAGCCGCGGUAAUAC
rnacentral:rRNA from 1 species